GAUGAAGAACGUAGCGAAAUGCGAUAAGUAAUGUGAAUUGCAGAAUUCAGUGAAUCAUCGAAUCUUUGAACGCACAUUGCGCCCGCCAGUAUUCUGGCGGGCAUGCCUGUUCGAGCGUCAUUUCAACCAUCAAGCCCCAGGCUUGUGUUGGGGACCUGUGGCUGCCGCAGGCCCUGAAAACCAGUGGCGGGCUCGCUGUCACACCGGGCGUAGUAGAUUUUAUCUCGCUCAGGGCGUGCUGCGGGUUCCGGCCGUUAAAAAGCCUUUUUUACCCAAGGUUGACCUCGGAUCAGGUAGGAAUACCCGCUGAACUUAAGCAUAUCAAUAAGCGGAGGA
rnacentral:misc_RNA from 1 species